AGGACCCUUAAGCACCUUGCUGGCUUCCAGCCUGUCACUGAGACUCCAGCCAAUCUCUCCACAGCCUUCUGCCAAACUCACACCUUGGUCAGAAUUUAGGACUCAGGGACCCAGCUCUAUAAGGAAUUGUCAGAUGGAUGCCCAUGCUGAGGUCCCUAUGCACUGGCACUGCCUGGGACUGGGAUUUGGAGAUGUCAGCAGAGGAAAGCAAAGGUUCCUCUUCCAGCAAAGCAUCUCCUAGCAUCUCUGCACCUGUCUGAGGGCCUGGCUCUAAACC
rnacentral:lncRNA from 1 species